UAAUGUUACUUUUGAGAAGGAAUCCGGUAAAGAUGUGGGGGGCUGUGAGGGUUUGGGAACUAGUGAAAAGGCAUCCAAUGUUGCUGAAAAUAGUCCCAAUAAUAGUGUGCCCAAGCUAUUACUACAAAUGAUAGCUCAAACUCCUCAUCUGAAUCAAACUCCUCAAACUCUAGUAGCAGCAUUGAUAAUAGCUCAUAUUCAGACCAUGAGGAGUUGUCUGAAGAAGGAGAAGCUAAAUAUGGUAGUUAUGCACACGAUGAAUAUAGGGCAUUCAGGGCAGAAAGCAGGACUUUAAAAGUUCAGACCAUGAGGAGUGGUCUGAAGAAGGAGAAGCUGAAUAUGGCAGUGAUACACAAGAUGAAUACAGGGCAUUCAGGGCAUAAAGAAGGACAAUAAAAAGGAGGAAGCGGAAACAAAGUGCUCCUGAACAAGAAAAUGUUAAACUAGGUAAGAGAGGGCUAGAUGUGGGGUAUGAUGAAUAUGCAUAUAGGAAGAAGAAGACUUUAGAAGGUAAUAUAGGUGGUGAUGAGCCUUAUUAUCCCUCAGAUGAAGCUGCAAGUUUUGAGACAGAUCCAGAUGAUGCUGAUGACGAAGAUAAAGGGGAGGUACAACAGAAAGCUAAAGCUAGAAGAAGAAAGAUUACAAAGAGAGUAAUAUUUGACAAGACUUGCAAGAAGAUAGUUUGGGAAACUGGACUUGCAUUUGCAAGUGUGAAAGAAUUCAGAGAAGCAGUGA
rnacentral:lncRNA from 1 species